ACGGAAGGCAGCAGUGGGGAAUAUUGCACAAUGGGGGAAACCCUGAUGCAGCGACGCCGCGUGAGUGAAGAAGUAUUUCGGUAUGUAAAGCUCUAUCAGCAGGAAAGAAAAUGACGGUACCUGACUAAGAAGCCCCGGCUAACUACGUGCCAGCAGCCGCGGUAAUACGCAGGGGGCAAGCGUUAUCCGGAUUUACUGGGUGUAAAGGGAGCGUAGACGGCUUUGCAAGUCUGAAGUGAAAGCCCGGGGCUCAACCCCGGAACUGCUUUGGAAACUGUAGAGCUGGAGUGCAGGAGAGGUAAGUGGAAUUCCUAGUGUAGCGGUGAAAUGCGUAGAUAUUAGGAGGAACACCAGUGGCGAAGGCGGCUUACUGGACUGUAACUGACGUUGAGGCUCGAAGGCGUGGGGAGCAAACAGGAUUAGAUACCCUGGUA
rnacentral:rRNA from 1 species